rnacentral:rRNA from 1 species
UGGGGAAUUUUGUGCAAUGGGGGAAACCCUGACACAGCGACACCGCGUGAACGAAGAAGCCCUUUGGGGUGUAAAGUUCUGUCGGCUGGAACGAAAAAAAUGACGGUACCAGCAAAGGAAGCAUCGGCUAACUACGUGCCAGCAGCCGCGGUAAGACGUAGGAUGCAAGCGUUGUCCGGAUUUAUUGGGCGUAAAGAGUUCGUAGGCGGUUUGUUAAGUCUGAUGUUAAAUAUCGGGGCUCAACCUCGGGAGUGCAUUGGAUACUGGCAGACUGGAGUGUGGUAGAGGUUAGUGGAAUUCCCAGUGUAGCGGUGAAAUGCGUAGAUAUUGGGAAGAACACCAGUGGCGUAGGCGACUAACUGGGCCAUAACUGACGCUGAGGAACGAAAGCCAGGGGAGCGAAUGG